GACGAACCGUGCGAACGUUGUUCGGAAUUACUGGGCGUAAAGGGCUCGUAGGUGGCCAACUAAGUCGGACGUGAAAUCCCUCAGCUUAACUGGGGAACUGCGUCCGAUACUGGAUGGCUUGAGUUUGGGAGAGGGAUGCGGAAUUCCAGGUGUAGCGGUGAAAUGCGUAGAUAUCUGGAGGAACACCGGUGGCGAAGGCGGCAUCCUGGACCAACACUGACACUGAGGAGCGAAAGCCAGGGGAGCAAACGGG
rnacentral:rRNA from 1 species